GUCAGGAAGAGGAAGAAACAGAGGGUAUAAGAGCAGUGGGAAUGAGAAUAUUGAGGAAAGCCACGCUUGAUUUCCUCUUAGUUUUGGGGUGGGAAUUUAGUUUGGUGUUUCCCGAUGCCUCUCAUUCCUAUAGUUCUUGCGCCUUCCUUCCUCUUCCUUUUGGCU
rnacentral:pre_miRNA from 2 species